UUGAAAACAGGAGAGUUUGAGGAAAGAUGGGUGUGGUGGUGUUUUUUUUCUUCUUGACAGGAGUUUAGGAGGAAAAGCUAUGCCAGCUACAGAGGUAGUGAUCUGAAGAAUGGAAGAAACAAUGAAAAAGACUGGAUGUGGAAGCCCCGGGGUGUACAUUAUUUUGGAGAGGAUACCUGAAAGGUGCUUCAUUUGUAUGAAGUACUGCCUGAUAGAGCUGAUGGAAUAGAAGAGAAGAGAUUUGAAUAUGCAGCUAGAAACUAUGAUUGAGUUUCACAGGGGAUUUGAGCGGAUGAUGAAGGGAAGGAGAGAGGAGGCUGAAGGGAAACCUCAAACUUGCAGAUGCAUGUGCUGUUCAGGAAAGACAGAAAUAAAGGAGGACGUAUCGGACUUGCUCGGAACCGGCUAGUUCAUGGGUUUGAAUCCAUGAAGGAAUGAGGCUGUGAGGUGGAGCUUUUGGAGCUGGGGGUGAAGAACCCAUCCAUUGUCCUGGGAAAGGUGAUCUCGCCUGUUGGGGAAAGCCUGUGGAUGAUGGGAGGACAUACAGAGUAGAGAUCAGGAAAGAAAAGGCAGCACUGCCCUAAGUCCCAUCUUCAGCCGAGGACGGUUGAGAAGGAACUGAGGAGGGUGCGGGACGCAUGCACUCAGGAAGAUUCCAACGAGACGGGAGAUACCAACUGAGUGUGUGCAUCCCGACCAGGCACUGCUACUGAAAAUCUCCGACCAACGGCUCUGGGAUGCACCAUCCCCUAGAGUGGAGCACCCACAGGGACAGCACUUGAAGAAGAAGGGUACUUGCUGAUAACAAUAUAACUGCAGUAUGCAGUAAUAACUCUGCAUGUGAAUCUCCCGAGUCAGUAGUGCUGGGUCCUCAGCACCAUACUCAAUUAACCAGAUCAGGGAUACUCACGAUGAUUAUACUGGAGCACCAAACCACCAUGGUGCUGAAUCCUUGGCACUGGACAAGGUUGAUUUAGAUGUAUUUAUGACCUUAUUACCAGUUAUUUUGAUCAUCAAACUCCAUCAUUUGCAGUUCAGAGUCAACAGGACCAGAAUUCAUCAGACAGAGGAGACCAGGAACCUGGACUCUGUUUAAGCAAGACAUAGAGCCAUUUUGAAGAGCCAAUCUCAAAAGUUAAUGCUGGACGUACAUCACCAGACUUAUUCAACUGGACCUUAUCGGCCAACAUGUCAGUAAAGGUGUAUUAGGUGGUCUGCCCAUUUCUACAAGUCAAUCUCCAAAGACAAUGCUGGAUUUACACAUUUAUGACUGGGCUUAAGGAGCGUUCUGGUCAGUAGGAGUGUGGCAACCAUUCUGUUCCAUGCAGAUCCUCAUGAUGCCCAUGCUGAACAGGCUCUUUUUCUCCUUUCUGAAAUUAAGGAAAGGCGAGUAACUGACCAAAAAAAACCCCAAACCAAACCACCUGUUGAGAAACGUGUCAAGGACACUGCAUACAAUGUGAGCUUUCUGCACGAUAUCUAUUAAGAAGGAACUGAAGGGCAACUAUGGCCAGAGUGGUUUUAUGACCUUAGAAUCUUCUAUGACGGAGGAGGGGAAGGGGUUGGUGAAUGGUCCGAACUGACACCGCUUGUCAACUGAUUCCAGGCACCAAUCCCAAAAAUGGGACCAUGCAGUGGCAACACUUUCAAAGAACAACUGGUUAACUUUCCUGAAGUCUUGGGAACAAGACAAGUAAAAUAUCUGAAAUCUUUUAACAGCUAAAAGAAUGUAAACACUUGUCCUGAGGAAAAAAGGUAGCUAAAACAAUUAAGAUGUAACUCAGCGUCCACUGUGGGAAUAAGCUCCAAAGGAAGCCAGAGUUCACAGUUUAUUGGACAAAAACUGGAAGGAAGAGAAAUAACCAAAGAACUUAAUUCUCCAGUCCUCCUUUCUGAAAUAACUAUAAACAAAGUCACUUUCAGAGUCAGGAAUAUGAAACCUGGCUUAUAGAAUCAAUAGGAGGUUCUGUGCUAAGGAGCAUUUUGGAGUGAUAGGAUUAAGUAAAGGUCUCUGUGAGAGAAGGAAAUGGAAAAGCUAUUUGAAAUAAGCUAAAAUCUAUGUCAGUAAUAGGGCCCUCAAAGGCCAAAAUAGCAGAAUCUUAUACCCAGAGUACUCUGAUUUAAAGCCCCCUCAAAUCCUGCUAAUAUAAAAAUCCAAAAUAUUCUUUAUAGAAGAGGAACAGUGCAUGAUGUUUUGAUCAGAAGCACAACCAUAGAAAGACCCAUCAUGUUAGUGGAAGGUUUCCUAUUCAAGAAGACAAUCUGCAACCUCCACGGCAGUCUUUUCUUGGAACCAGCACUACUCAAUUUCCAUAUUAAUCUCAAGUGACUGGAUUAGGCCUGGAACGACGAACUCCAAGAUAAAAGGUUGGAUGUCUUGAGAAGUGGCCAGCAUGGAGGUUAAUUAAAUAGGAGAAUAAAGGGCCAUGUGCCUCUAAGAAGCUAAAAUAAUCAUCACUGUCUUGCCUGCUAUUUCAGUGACAUUUUGAGUGGAGAGAGAUCAGGGAAGGCAAGAUGUCGCUUCAUGCUCCAGUCCCAGAAUUUUGGGUUUGGUAUUUCUCUAGCAGAAACAAGAAAGUUUGGCAUUUGUCAGACUGAGUUGAAAUUAAAUUUUAACUAUAUUUAACUGAAAAACCUGAAUACUGGGGCUCCUCUCCCAGGCAACUAACUGCUGAUGACUGAGCUAGUCUGCAAGAGAGUUGUCUUUCUUCCACUGUUAUUUGGAGGGAAAGCAAAUGAGACUACAUCCAGGAGAAGAGACUCUAAAAGGGAAACCCAAUUCCAAGAGUUGUAAGUUUGCAUAAAAGCAGGUACAGAGUUUGCCUGAGCACCUAAGAGAUUGUUGGAAGCCCAGAUAGAGUGAGAAUAGAGUGAGCAGAAUUGAUGCUAGUGGCAAGGACUGUACCAGUCCGGAGAAGAAAGGAACUACUGUAGUGCUAGAAGUGCUACUAUGCAGGGGAGGGUGAGGUGAGGAGAAGAGAAUUCCCAAAAUGCUGAGCUUACCAGCAAUCUGGGAUGAUGGGUAUGGCUGACAGGCAAGGAACAUAACUAAGCUGCAUCUGCAAAUACCAACAGUUUGGCAGGAGAGACAGAGAGGGGGAGCUUAUUGGGAAAUGCCUGCUGUCUCCAGGUUGGACAAAUAGUGGCAAUAAUGCUGAGGGAAGAGGGCCCAGUGAAACCCACUUCCUAUACAUAUGAAGUCAGAUUUCUAGGAUGGCCAGUAUCAGGUCCAUGAGAUGUGGAGAUAGCUGGAUCCAGAGGUCUCUCCUGAGAUGCAGGAGCAGCUUUGCUGUCAGCAAGGGGUUCAAUGGCAGAGCUUAAAGCUCUGUCAUCCGCAUCCUCUCUGCAAGAAAUUCCCCUGAACCACUGGGGAGGGGAUAACCAAAGCCUUGAUCUUCUCCAAUAUGUUCCUCUUCUUCUUCUCCUCCCUGUGGGGCCUAGUAAGGAGCGGAGAAAAGGGUUUAGAAGAAAUAGAGGAGGAAGGAACAGUGCAGAAGGAUUCCUUGCUUAUUUGAUGGUAAAGAAGAUAAAAUGAUCUGGGAGCGAUCUGACUGGUGUUCUAACUCAAAAAUCUUUCCCUCCUUGCUUCCUAGCAUGUGGAACUGUAAUACCAUCUGUCCUUUACUCAGCAUUGCCAAAUCUAAGAGAUCAAAAUUCAUGAGUUAUGCCCUGAAAAAUCAUGAGAUUUUAAAAAAUAAUACAUUUUGAUCUUGUUAUUUGCCUUCUGGAUUUUGAGCUGUAAGGUUCAUGUUUUCAAGCAUUUCUCCACAACCACGAGGGCUAGAAACUCACUUUAAUUUUAAACUGAAAUUCUCAUAUAAUAUUAUUAUUACCUAGCUCUUACAAAGUAAUCAAAUAUAAUCAAAAUAGUCCAAGAGUUGGAGCUUUAAAGAAAAACACCAAAUAUAGCAACAUAGUGAUAAAACACGAUUUCCUGCCUCUUCUAAGGAUGGUGUUAAAGAGAUGUACAGUCAUCUAUGCACACCCCCUUCCAUGGCUUCUCAACUUACUGGCACAGUUUUAUUCAGCAGAGUAAAAUUCACCAACUGUCUUAAGCAGUUUAAUAAUCUAAUAUGAUCCCAUGUUGCCCCUCACACCAGUUCCCUUCCCCCCCGACCCCUCAAAUCCCCUUUGACUUUAUCUUUCCUUUUCCUACCUUUCUUCCAUUGAUACCCAAUACCCAAAGUGAAGCUAAAGUAGAUUUAGCUACUAUGAAACAGCUCUGAAAUGUUGCAGUUUGGUGCUACAUUUAUCGUUUUAUCUUUACUUUUAAGUUGAACACUCAUUAGGACUCAAAUUGACAGUUCAUUAAACAUACUUCAUAUUAAUGCAAUAAACUCCAUAUCAACAAAUGUUAAGACUGUGACAAUUACUUCAUUAAGUCAGGGUUCUUCCUACACUGAACUGUAAUUUUAAGUAUGCAAUUAGGUGCACAAUGAAUAUUAAGAAAGAGUGUUAACCAGCUGAUCUUGCAUUUGCACAGGAUCUUUCAUCUGAAAGAAUCCCAAAGCCUUCACAAACAGCAGCAAGGAUCUCUAUCAAUCAUGAAAACUAUCUCAGGUGAAAACAGCAGUUGUUUAUAAAUACACAAAAGUUUAGAACAAAAAGCAAAGAACAUCUUUCCAACUGAAACUACAGGAAAAUGAAUUUAGGUACAGAGAAUCUAAUUAAUUAAGUAGGAAUUAGGCUAGGACACAAGGUAAACACAUCUAGGAUAUGUCCACACAGCACUAGACACUACGGCUGUACCAUGUCUGCUGACUUUGGCUCAUGGGAUUUGGGCUGUGGGGCUGUUUCAUUGCUGUGUAGACUUCCAGGCUCAGGCUGGGCCCAGUCUCUAGGACUCUGAGGUGGGAAGGUCUCAGAUCUUGGGCUGCAGCCCAAGCCCAGAAGUCUACACAGCAGCCCAAGACUCGCAAGCCUGAGUAAGUGGGCAUGGGCCAGUUUGUGGGUUUCUCUUUGCUGUAUAGACAUAUCAUGCAAUCUUCAUUGACCACAACAGUCAGAACCUUGCUAUUGCAUCUUACCCAUCAGCACAGUGGUCUAACCUCUGUCUUAAUUAAGAUACUGAUUAAGAGGCAAGAGUGUCACCUACUGAAUGAUCAUCACCUCUCCCAGUAGUACCUGCUUACUGAAUGACAGCACAAGGUUAUAUAGUGUCAGACUAUUCACUAAUUUACAUAAUAUGGGCUUGUCUAUAUAGGCAGUGCACAAUAAGAUGGGUGCAAAUCUAUAGUGUACUAUCUAUAGUGUACUAGCCUGCCAUACAUUUACUGGCCAUGUGGACACAGCUACCACUCACUAAAAGUUCCACAGUCCACUUUGAUCUACUACCAUUUUAAAGCAGAGUGCAUUAUGGAACUUUUAGUGAGCGGUAGCUGGGUCCACACAUGCGGCCAGGUAGUGUGCUGUAGAUUUACACUUCAGUUACAGUGCACUACUGUUCAUACAGUCAAGACCGAAGGGGAAAAAAAAAAAGAAGAGUUCAGCACUUUGCAAAAAUGGGUGGAACUACAAAUCUAAGAAUUCAAAUGAAAUAUUCAAGGCAUAUUUGCAAUUCAAUUUCCAUUCAAGCUGGGACUUUAAAAGACUCAGAGACUGACAGUAUAAACACACCUUUUUUUUAAAAUAGACUUUAAAAAAAAUUAUUUGCCAAUGCCUCUCAAAGGCUCUUUAAGAAAACUGGACAGAUAUGUAGAAUACAAUAAACCAAACCAAACGAGUUUGCAAAGCUUAUUUAUCUUCCAUCUUAAAAUCCAGUUUGUGGCCAAAAUAUCAGUACUUUCAAAUGGAAAAUAAAUAAGCAUCACCAACUUAUUUGGUCUGCAUUUUGGUGCACAGUGAACCAUACUCCAGGAAUCUGAACUUUAUGCCACUGUAACCCAUGAUUAAAAGAAUGUGACUUAAAAUAUUAUUGUAAAUUAUAGCAGAAAUGUCUGUAAUCACCAUUUAAUUGCUAAAAUACUUUGAAAAGUUGUAUUUAGAAGAAGGACCCUUACAAAGAAAAAAAAAAAUAACCCCAAAGGGAAACUGUACUUUGUAUGUUGGUUCUAGGUAAACAUAUGAUAAAGAGGCCAUAUUUAUCUAUGUAAAAUAGAUUUAGCAAGUUAAAUACAGAAGCUGCCUGUAAUGGAAAAAGUCUCAUGAUUUACAGCAUUUUAAGCAACAGGCAUAUUCAACACAACAUCAACUCAUAAAAAAAAAAAAA